rnacentral:rRNA from 1 species
AUUGAACGCUGGCGGCAGGCCCAACUCAUGCAAGUCGAGCGGAUGAAGUUUGCUUGCUCCUGUAGUCAGCGGCGGACGGGUGUGUAAUGCCUAGGCAUCUGCCUGGUAGUGGGUGAUAAGGUCCGGAAACGGGCGCUAAUACCGCAUACGUCCUGAUGGAGAAAGUGGGUGAUCUUCGCACCCCCCACUAUCAGAUGAGCCUAGGUGGGAUUACCUAGCUUGUGGGAUAAAGGCCUACCUAGGCGACGAUCCGUCACUGGUCUGAGAGGAUCAUCAGUCACACUGGAACUGAGACACGGUCCAGAAUCCUAAGAGAGGCAGCAGUGGGGAAUAUUGGAUAAUGGGCGGCAACCUGAUCGAGACAUGCGGCGUGUACAAAGAAGGUCUUAGGAUCUUCAAAAACAUAAAAAUGGGAGGAAGGGAAGUAAGCUCAGGCCUGGCUGUCUAGACGUUAAAGAGGGAGAGGGCGGAGGAUCACUUCAUC